CUAGAGUAUGAUUUUAACAGUUAUUUUAGGUUGGAUUUAUAAUAUUUAGAUAUCCUGGCUCCAAAUCUUCAGCUAUUUCAUAAUUUGAAACUCCAAUUCAUAGAUUAGUAUUCAUAUUAUCUGUGUUCCAAACCGACUCAAUUAGUAAAUACAUGUGACUCUGCUGACUCCCGACUCCCUCAUCAGCUAUAAUUCUUACUUCAUAGGAAUUAGAUGAACCUAGUUACUAAAAAUUACAUUAUUUUGAUCCUUUUAAGCUCAUGAAUGUGUAUAUAGUAAAUCGAUACAGUCUGACUGAUGUUUCCAGUUGGUUCUAUUUUGGCACCAAAUUUAAGAAUCUUGUUGAUCCCAAUGAAUUCAUCACAUUAUUAAUAUAAUAUUAAUAGGGGUUGGGGGAAUAUUUCAUAUUAUUUGAAUAAAACUUAUUCUAAUUCCAAAUUCAUUCAACUCCUUGCAUAAAUACAUGCAACUUUACUAACUCCUGCCUUAAUUAAAUAUAAUUACUUAAAAUUACAUAAUUUUAAUCCUUAUAAACUCAUGCAUUGGAGGAUAUGAGUAAUCGAUUCAGUCUGUAAAAAGUUUUGUAUCCCUUUCUGUUCGACAACUCACAUAUAAAUACAUAAUCAUCUUAUUAAUAUAAGCUCAUAUAAGUUCCCCACGUAGAAUUUAUCAUCAAAAAUGAUGUUUUUCAACACAACAGGUUAGGUGAUUAGAGCUUGUGCUCCACUAUAUUAGUAUUAGAACUAUUGCUAGACAUAUAGAGUGUUUACUCUCUAGAAUGACGAGGAAGCGUUCAGCUGAUGAACAAUAAAGAAACAUAUAUAAGUUACUUAUAACUUACAAGGAUCAGAUCAUUCAGUUAUUUAAUAACUUAUUAAUAUUAUGUCAAUAUUAGCCUUUCAGUUAUCAAUAAUAUUUCUUAAAAUUAGAACUAAUUUUUACUAAAAGUGUUUGGUAUUAUGUAAGCUUAUCAUAGUGGAUAUCAUAGGGAUUUGAUGCAUUCUUAUUAUUUUAUUUGUAGAGUUAAAUGCCUGAUUGCAUUGCAUUUAAUUGUCUUCGAGAACACCGGGUUUUUCUAGAUCCCUAGAGCACGAUCUUACUAGACAAUCGUGGAAGAAAUGUGAACUUAACCACAAUUAUGAGAAAAUAAGCUUUUUUCUAUCUCCUAAAAAUCCAGUGCUUCUAAAGGAAACUGCCGUCGUCAAGAUUGGAAACAAACCAAAUUGUCAAGGAUCUGUUUUAAGCACUUCGAGUACUCUGGCAUCAUCAAAUACAAAGUUAAGCGUACUCUUGAUGAUGGAGCAGUGUCCCCAAUUUUCGACUUUUCAAUGCACUUAAAAAAAGUUGAGUCCCAUCGGUGAAUAUUAAAGCAAGAACCUAUAAAAAGACAGUACUAAAAAAAGGAAUUCUGAAAAAAUGAUUGCAAAAAGGCCAACUGUAAAUAUGGUCAUUGCUCAUACAUACGCCCUACCUAAUACAAUGGAAUCCUUGGUGGUGGUGAAAAAAAAAAAAGCAAAAAGAGACAUUAUGAUUCUUUCCGAAAAAAAUUAAGUUCUUUUAAUAAAUUUAAAGUCUUUCAAAAUUAAAAUGAUUUCUAUAAAAAACGAAGGCUCCAGAAGUGGAUAACUAAUGUUAAAGAUUUAUGCCACCAUUUAACAAAAAAGUGUAAAAAUUCGAAAGAUGAUGAAACGUAGCUGUUAUAUUUGAUAUUUGCCAUAUCUAAUUCAGUUUAAAAAUCAAUAAUUUGAAAAAUAUUAAUAAUAUGUUGUAGAAUAAAUGAUACUUCACUGA
rnacentral:lncRNA from 1 species